ACUAUGAACGUGCAGAAAGCAUAACCCUAGAUGAGGACCUACUAAACAACAUAAUUACAUGUUUAUGACCACUCCUUAAAGAUAAUUCUGCUCUAAUAGUUUUUAGAUUUAAGUCCAACGAGUGUACCAUCAACAGCAACAUGGCCAUUUCGUUUAAUCAACUCCAGAAGCAAGCGCAUAAGUUACAACAAGAUUUAAUGGAUUAUUCAGGACUCCCUCACGACGUGAUAGAAAACAUUGUGGCCUACACAAGAUGUCUGACCAAAGAUGAAACACCAGAAGAGGUUGAUGACGUUAUUUUUGCUGCUCAAAUGUUAAGGCACUUCAACCUCACCUCACCAGCAAUGAUAUCCAGCAUGUUUA